AGAGGCUUCAACAUCCUUCAAAGGAUUUGGAUUCUUCAAAACAUUGAACAUCACAAGGUUCAACAUAAUGUUCCUUAGAGAAUGACCCUGCUGUUGAACCAAGUGGUGUUCAAGCUUUGAAGAAUCCAAACCCUUUGAAGGAUGUUGAAGCCUU
rnacentral:pre_miRNA from 1 species